rnacentral:lncRNA from 1 species
GGAUGCUGUGUCUUUUGGGUGUCACGACCUAAUUUCAGGAGAUUCCUAAUACGGUUGCUUAUAUUUGGGUAUUUCCAGUAAUCCAGUUAUGCACGUUGCUAACCUGAAGCUGAUGUCUCCGUUGAAGUUGUAUGAGGCAGAACCAGGUGGAGCAGGGCUGGUCCCCACACAGCUGCAGGAAGUUUCCUUGGUGCUAGUGUGGAAUUCUUCACUAAAGAGACAAAAUCUGCCAUGUUCUUCUCAUGAACACAGCAACUGCACAAGGAAGACAGUGAGAACUAUUGCUCCUUCAUUAAGCAUCUUGAAGCCUAAAUCAGUCCACCUCUGCUACAGUACAGUACAGGGCAAUGUGCUGCAGAAUUCCAAUAGAGGAGGUUAAAUGCAAACAUGGAGGCAAAGGAGAGAGCAUCAAGGACUGCCUUCACGUGGCCAGGUGCUAAUUCUUCAGCUGCAUUGCAUCAUGUUGGCUACUAAGCUGUCUGUCUGCCCAAGGAUGAGUUUUCCUUGUCUAUGCUGCUAGCUGCUGUUCUUAGAAUCAUAGAAUGGUUUUGAAAAUAUCGAUUUUAUUACACAGAAAAUACUAUUAUUUUCCUUUGUUUUUAUAGACCACCAAAUGCGUAACUAUUACCUUUUUUUUUGUGAAUUAUUUCCCUUGCAGAGAUUUCAGGGAUUUUUUUUUUUUUUCUUUUAUGAUGUCAGUUAGCUCAUCGCUGAUGCUCAGUUACAUUUCUUAUGAAGCAGACAGUGAAAUCCUAUCUAUGAAACAAUUAAUGUUCAAUACUUUUAACACUUCCUAAAGAUGAAAAAUUGCCUUCCGUAGGCUUAUAUGGACCCUUGUAGCUUUAUAAAUGAUAUUUUCUUGUCAUGAAUGUGAAGUAAUUACACAAGGAAAAAAAAACAUAAAGAAGAUUGUAAAGCUUCUUUUUUGGGGGGAGUGGUGGGGGAAGCUGAAAGGGAAGGUGGAAAAGCAGUUGUCUGCAGUUUGAAGGCUUAGUACUGCAAGUUCUGUUUCUCUUAUCACUUAAGGUUUGCC